rnacentral:rRNA from 1 species
UACGUAGGUGGCAAGCGUUGUCCGGAAUUAUUGGGCGUAAAGCGCGCGCAGGUGGUUUCUUAAGUCUGAUGUGAAAGCCCACGGCUCAACCGUGGAGGGUCAUUGGAAACUGGGGAACUUGAGUGCAGGAGAGAAGAGUGGAAUUCCACGUGUAGCGGUGAAAUGCGUAGAGAUGUGGAGGAACACCAGUGGCGAAGGCGACUCUUUGGCCUGUAACUGACACUGAGGCGCGAAAGCUAGGGUAGCAAACGGG